CGAACUCUGGUAUUGAUUGGUGCUUGCAUCAUGAUUUACAUUUGAGUGAGUGGCGAACUGGUGAGUAACACGUGGGAAACCUGCCCAGAAGCGGGGGAUAACACCUGGAAACAGAUGCUAAUACCGCAUAACAACUUGGACCGCAUGGUCCGAGUUUGAAAGAUGGCUUCGGCUAUCACUUUUGGAUGGUCCCGCGGCGUAUUAGCUAGAUGGUGGGGUAACGGCUCACCAUGGCAAUGAUACGUAGCCGACCUGAGAGGGUAAUCGGCCACAUUGGGACUGAGACACGGCCCAAACUCCUACGGGAGGCAGCAGUAGGGAAUCUUCCACAAUGGACGAAAGUCUGAUGGAGCAACGCCGCGUGAGUGAAGAAGGGUUUCGGCUCGUAAAACUCUGUUGUUAAAGAAGAACAUAUCUGAGAGUAACUGUUCAGGUAUUGACGGUAUUUAACCAGAAAGCCACGGCUAACUACGUGCCAGCAGCCGCGGUAAUACGUAGGUGGCAAGCGUUGUCCGGAUUUAUUGGGCGUAAAGCGAGCGCAGGCGGUUUUUUAAGUCUGAUGUGAAAGCCUUCGGCUCAACCGAAGAAGUGCAUCGGAAACUGGGAAACUUGAGUGCAGAAGAGGACAGUGGAACUCCAUGUGUAGCGGUGAAAUGCGUAGAUAUAUGGAAGAACACCAGUGGCGAAGGCGGCUGUCUGGUCUGUAACUGACGCU
rnacentral:rRNA from 2 species